AUGCGAUAAGUAAUGUGAAUUGCAGAAUUUAGUGAAUCAUCGAAUCUUUGAACGCACAUUGCGCCCCUUGGUAUUCCGGGGGGCAUGCCUGUUCGAGCGUCAUUUCAACCCUCAAGCUCUGCUUGGUAUUGGGGCCUGCGGAUCUCGCAGCUCUUAAAAUCAGUGGCGGUGCCUGUUGGCUCUGAGCGUAGUAAUACUUAUCGCUACGGAGUCCAGCAGGCCACUAGCCAGCAACCCCAAAUUUUCUAUGGUUGACCUCGGAUCAGGUAGGGAUACCCGCUGAACUUAA
rnacentral:misc_RNA from 1 species